CUCCCUCAAUCUUUCCAUGCAGGUUGUAGCUUUUGUCAAAAUGACAUUUGAAAUAUAUGCAACAUGUGUAAUACCUAUAAGUGCCUUCUUUGCAUCAAUUAUUUGGUUUGGCAACACUGCUUAUUUGCACAUAUCUGUGGCUUUAUCCAUAUGCUCGAAGCUCUAAGUAUGUGGAAACAAAGUGCAUUAUUUGAUUACAUCCAACGAAAUCACUCCAUAAUUGUAAUGACUGGCUAUUUAUGUUUGUAAUAUUACAGUGCCAGUGGCAACAUUUUUCAUUUGUGUCGUGUGUGGUACUGAUAAACCAAGGUGUGAUGUGUUCUUAAACAUGGUGCUGGUCAGCAUCGGAGUUGUUGUUUCCAUGAGUUGGUGGUCGUACAUGCUUGCUAUAUUAGGUGUUUUUACUGUAGUGACCAUGUGGGCAGUUGUUGUAACUGAUGGUUGCAGGAAAAUAAAGCUGUAGUACUAUGGGUUUAAACUAGCAUCUACUGCAAGGUAAAGUCAGUGCUACUUACCUAAACAUUAGAUGCAUUUGGUGGAGAGACAUAGACUUUGGUUUCAAUUCUUCUUUGUGCAACAUAGAUAGUAUAGUUCAUGGCUAAUCCGAGCAGGGAGCAGUAACUAAUUUUAUGUGAACUAGGACUAUUGUUGAAUUCAUUUAAGGAGAUUUGUAACUUUCAGUGUUUGUUUAUUAACUUAUAAUAAUGGUUAUAUGUUCUUUCUCAAUGACAUAUUUUCUUUAUUUUGUAUGUUGGACAUGGAAGAC